rnacentral:rRNA from 1 species
GAUCAUGGCUCAGGACGAACGCUGGCGGCGUGCUUAACACAUGCAAGUCGAACGGACGAUCACCCCUCGGGGUGUGAGUUAGUGGCGGACGGGUGAGUAACGCGUGAGUAAUCUGCCUUGGAGUGGGGAAUAACACAGGGAAACUUGUGCUAAUACCGCAUAACGUCAUCGGGUGGCAUCAUCUGGUGACCAAAGAUUUAUUGCUCCAAGAUGAGCUCGCGUCCGAUUAGAUAGUUGGCGGGGUAACGGCCCACCAAGUCGACGAUCGGUAGCCGGACUGAGAGGUUGGCCGGCCACAUUGGGACUGAGACACGGCCCAGACUCCUACGGGAGGCAGCAGUGGGGAAUAUUAGGCAAAUGGGGGAAACCCUGACCUAGCGACGCCGCGUGAAGGAUGAAGGUUUUCGGAUUGUAAACUUCUUUGGCAGGGGACGAUAAUGACGGUACCCUGAGAACAAGCCACGGCUAACUACGUGCCAGCCGCCGC